UACGUAGGGGGCUAGCGUUGUCCGGAUUUAUUGGGCGUAAAGCGCGUGUAGGCGGCCAGAUAGGUCUGCUGUGAAAACUCGAGGCUCAACCUCGAGCUGUCGGCGGAAACCAUUUGGCUAGAGUCCGGAAGAGGAGAGUGGAAUUCCCGGUGUAGCGGUGAAAUGCGCAGAUAUCGGGAAGAACACCUAUGGCGAAGGCAGCUCUCUGGGACGGUACUGACGCUGAGACGCGAAAGCGUGGGGAGCGAACAGG
rnacentral:rRNA from 1 species